GACGAACGCUGGCGGCGUGCUUAACACAUGCAAGUCGAACGGAAAGGCCCUGCUUUUGUGGGGUGCUCGGGUGGCGAACGGGUGAGUAACACGUGAGUAACCUGCCCUUGACUUUGGGAUAACUUCAGGAAACUGGGGCUAAUACCGGAUAGGAGCUCCUGCUGCAUGGUGGGGGUUGGAAAGUUUCGGCGGUUGGGGAUGGACUCGCGGCUUAUCAGCUUGUUGGUGGGGUAGUGGCUUACCAAGGCUUUGACGGGUAGCCGGCCUGAGAGGGUGACCGGCCACAUUGGGACUGAGAUACGGCCCAGACUCCUACGGGGGGCAGCAGUGGGGAAUAUUGCACAAUGGGCGGAAGCCUGAUGCAGCAACGCCGCGUGCGGGAUGACGGCCUUCGGGUUGUAAACCGCUUUCGCCUGUGACGAAGCGUGAGUGACGGUAAUGGGUAAAGAAGCACCGGCUAACUACGUG
rnacentral:rRNA from 1 species